rnacentral:rRNA from 1 species
AGUGAACGCUGGCGGUAGGCCUAACACAUGCAAGUCGAGCGGCAGCACAGUGAGAUUUUUCUCUUACGGGUGGCGAGUGGCGGGCGGGUGAGGAAUGCAUCGGAAUCUACUUUUUCGUGGGGGAUAACGUAGGGCAGCUUACGCUAAUACCGCAUAUGACCUACGGGUGAGAGCAUUGGAGCUUCGCGCCUUGCGCGUCUGAAUGAGCCGGUUCCGGAUUAGCUAGUUGGUGGGGUAAAGGCCCACCAAGGCGACGAUCCGUAGCUGGUCUGAGAGGAUGAUCAGCCACACUGGAACUGAGACACGGUCCAGACUCCUACGGGAGGCAGCAGUGGGGAAUAUUGGACAAUGGGCGCAAGCCUGACCCAGCCAUACCGCGUGGGUGAAGAAGGCCUUCGGGUUGUAAAGCCCUUUUGCUGGGAAAGAAAAGCAGCAGGUUAAUACCCCGCUGUUCUGACGGUACCCAAAGAAUAAGCACCGGCUAACUUCGUG